AUUGAACGCUGGCGGCAUGCUUUACACAUGCAAGUCGAACGGUAACAGGGGAGCUUGCUCCCGCUGACGAGUGGCGAACGGGUGAGUAAUGCAUCGGAACGUGCCGAAUAGUGGGGGAUAACGCACCGAAAGGUGUGCUAAUACCGCAUACGCCCUGAGGGGGAAAGUGGGGGACCGCAAGGCCUCACGCUAAUCGAGCGGCCGAUGUCGGAUUAGCUAGUUGGUGGGGUAAAGGCUCACCAAGGCGACGAUCCGUAGCGGGUCUGAGAGGAUGAGCGGCCACACUGGGACUGAGACACGGCCCAGACUCCUACGGGAGGCAGCAGUGGGGAAUUUUGGACAAUGGGGGAAACCCUGAUCCAGCCAUGCCGCGUGUCUGAAGAAGGCCUUCGGGUUGUAAAGGACUUUUGUCCGGGAGGAAACCCUGAUCGUUAAUAGCGGUCGGGACUGACAGUACCGGAAGAAUAAGCACCGGCUAACUACGUGCCAGCCGCCGCGGUAA
rnacentral:rRNA from 1 species